AUACGUAGGGAGCGAGCGUUGUCCGGAUUUACUGGGUGUAAAGGGUGCGUAGGCGGGUUUGCAAGUCAGGCGUGAAAUACCGAGGCUUAACUUCGGGGCUGCGCUUGAAACUGUAGAUCUUGAGUGAAGUAGAGGUAGGCGGAAUUCCUAGUGUAGCGGUGAAAUGCGUAGAUAUUAGGAGGAACACCAGUGGCGAAGGCGGCCUACUGGGCUUUAACUGACGCUGAGGCACGAAAGCAUGGGGAGC
rnacentral:rRNA from 1 species